rnacentral:lncRNA from 13 species
AUGGCCAAGGCUGGAAGGAUGCUGCAAAUCCCAGUCCCUCCCACUACAAUCUCCAGCACAAAGGGCUUCCCUAACCCCUCCAGCGGGAAUAACUGGAUCACCUGGCUGCCUCCUGCCGCUCAGUCCCUCUGGAAGCGGGGCUGGGACGUCCCGGGUCCCCCUCUGGUCCUGCCGGAGCCAAAGGGAACGGGUUGGAAUAAACUAAACCGCAGCUGUCCCUUUUGGUUCUAUCCUUGUUUUUUGGUUGGGUUUCCUCUGUGUGUCCCUCUGGAUGAUCCAAAGCUCCUGUUUGCCGAUGGAUUUGACCUUUUAACUGUGACUGCUUUCAAUAAAUGGGAAAUGGAGUUUGCACGGCGUUGUUUCCAUGCCAUAAAUCCGUGGAUUUGCUCCUCCUCCCUCCGCUCUGCCGCGUUUCCUUUCUCCAGCUUCAUUCUCCCUGGCCUUCCAAGGUCCUGCCUCUUCUUGCCUGGGAAGGCAGCGUCCUUGGGGAUGGGAAAGGAGGGGGAAAAGCCAAGGAAAGGCAGUUUCAUGCAGACAUUCCUGGCUGUGCAUCCCUGGGACCUGCGGGGCUGUGCAGAGGCUGAACCGUGGAGGUGCUGCUGGAGGGGACCAGGACCAGCGGUGGCUGGAACAAGGAAAAGAUUCCCAACCAGAGCUCCCAGCUCGUCCCACACGAUCCCUGUGCCUGGAGCAGAAACCAACCCGGGUGGAAGCAGGGGGGAAGAGAACCCUGGGCCUGCUUUCCUUUGGCUGCACAAUCAUUUCCCUGCCAUAAACUCGGCACGGCGGGAGCCAAGGGAAGAUGAGGUCAUAGGGAAAAAUGCCGGUUGGGAAACAAUGGAGGGAGGUGCUGGUAAUGGCUGGGGUGGGGGACCCCCAGCUCCUCCAGGGACCCCCAACCUCCAUCAGGAUCCCCUUCUCCACCAGGAUCCCAGCAUCACUGGGACCCUCAGCUCCUCCAGGGACCCCCAACCUCCAUCAGGACCCCCAUCUUCAUCUCUCCCAGAAUCCCAGCUUCACUGGGACCCCCACUUCCUCCAGGACCUUCACCUCCUCCAGGAUCCCACCUCCAUGAGGACACCCAUCUCCUCCAGGAUCCCAGCUCCACUGGGACCUCACCUCCCCUGGGCCCCCCAUCUCCUCCAGGACCCCAAUUCCACUGGACCCCUCCCCCCAUCCUGCCACCCCCAAUCCCCAGCGCUGCUCCCCCAGCUCUGUGCAGGACAAACCAUCAGCAUCAGCAUUCCCAACCCUUUUUAUUCCCCUUUUUCCCCCAAACUCCAGCGAGGGCUGGAGCAUCCCAGUUUCUCCCAGCCCAGGAUUCCAGCAGCAGGGCCAGGGGUGAGGUUGGAUUUCAAACACAAAUCACGUCUCACAACGUAUUUUGCUUUUCCCUUUCCUUUUCCAGGCCGUAAUUUAUCCCAGCUCCUCUCUGCCGGUGGAGGGACAAACCUCCAGGAGGAUCUGCAGGUCCUUUCCCUGAAUCCAGCAGUGCUGGUGUGUCCCUGGCAGUCAGAGAGCCCCAGGAAUUGGGGGGAGGAUUUCACCAAAUCCCUCCAGUUCUGGGUGGAGAGAAAACCCCAUUGGAGAGCGGGGAAAUGA